AAUAUUCAGAACCAGCAGCUGGUAUUUUUUAAAAGAAAUUUGGGAUCAUACUUUAUAUACUAUUUUCUCCUAAUCCUUUGAUACACAAAACAGAUUGCUUCCACCAUUUCUAAUUCUGUCCUCUUUAUUUAUAUAGCUUCACUUUUCCCUAAACAGUAGAUUUCCAAUCUUUAAUAACCCUCUACUUUCACUGAUUAUGCACAGAAUUUUUUGCUUAUUAAUGUUUCAUUAGCAUUUUACCAUGCAGUGCAUUUUCAUGUUCUAUUGUUAUGCAUAUCACAGAGGGGUGCAUGAAUAUUCUUGCCUUAUUUCAAGCUUUAUCCAUAAUGUAUUGGAAUUCUAAUCACAUUUUCCUAGCAUUUUUAUAUAUUUCACACAGUUAGAAGGCAACCCAUAUGCUGGCUCUAUUUUUAAAAGAUUUUUUUCCUCAUUGUAUUGACAACUCUUUCCUGAGACAAAGGCACCCUUUGGGCCCUUUUUGGUCACUCUGUUAUUGAUUUGAACAUAUUGGAAAGUCAAGUCUGUCAUCUUCUUUUCGUAGUAUAAUUUGAGGCUGCUGCUAUUAUUUUAGCUGCUUGCUACUACUAACCUUUGCAAUGAGAUUAUGAAAAAAAAUUUAAUCUGCAUCCCAAAAUGUCGAACACCUCCAAUUACUGCUAUUCUUUUGCUAGCUUUCUUAAAGGAGAUAGUCCAAAGCACUGGUGUCGGGGAUUUUAUUAUUUUUCUAUUGCUUCCCAGCUUUACUGAAAUAUACUGGUGCUCUCUUCUUUUCUCUGGCUUUCCUCCCUCCUGCCGUGGCCCUCUUUCUGUCAACUAUCCUUCUACAUUAUCAUGAUUACCAAUCUGCAUUCUGUUCUGCUACCACAGUCACGCCUUCCCUGCAAGCCAGAAAAGCCGUUUUUGUGUUAGUCGCCCGUGCAAAUGCUGGCCCAACUCAUGUGCCUGAAAUACUUUCAGUUAUGUACUGGGCCAAAUGACAUAAACUCAGGAUCAGUAGGAGGAUUUCUUUUCCUCAAAGUCAAAUAGAUUUUCUUUUCUU
rnacentral:lncRNA from 12 species